UCCAACAACAGGUAAAAACUGAUCUCAUAUUUAACUUUAUCUGACAGGUUCUGGUUUGCUGGGUGUAUGAGGCUGAGACAAGGGAAAUAGGGAAUCAUCACGGUGGUAACCACUGGUUGUUCAGGAAACUCAAGGAUAUCAUCAACUCAGAUUAGAAUUGAUUUAGAAUUAGAACUAAAUCAAAACUAUACACACACACACACACACAAAGAAAUGUAGCUAAUUCUUUUCAUAAAGCUUAAGUAAACAUCCACAUAUCAGCAUCAAAACAGAUGUCUAUGAAAUUCACGCCUGUGUGCAUAAUUGCUUUCAGAAUGAGUGUAAUCUCUCCCUCCUUCCAUCUUUCUCUUUCUCUGUCUCUCUCUGCUGCUUUUUGACUCUCUUUCCAGCAUCAAAGAAAGAGAAAGGAAACAUGCAGGCAUUGUGGGAGGAUUACGAAACAGAAAAAAGGUAUGUAUGUGUUGGUACAUAUACACCAGUAUGCAGGUGGCUUUAUGAAGAUCAUUUCCCUCCCUCCUGUUUCCCAGUGGAAAUGAAUGUCCAUUAAAGAUGACAUCACACAGGCACUAGAAAAGCCAUGAGCAGCUGUGGCCCAUAAGAGAGGCUCAGCUAUCCUGUAAUGUCUCAUAUGAGUCUUGCAGACUCAUGCACACACACACACACACACAGCAACGUCAUGGCUAUGGGGAAAACAAAUGGCACAGCUAACCUAACACACCAAUAGAGAGAAGUGAUUAUAACAGCACAGACACAAACCAUAGGUUAAAAAAAUCACUCUCUUUACUGUAUAGGAGAAAACAAAUGAGAUUAAAUUGAGACUUUUGCUCCAUAUAUUCCAUAUAUAUGAGAAACAGACAGAGAGUAAAAAUAUCACGUGUCUACUCAAGAGCUGAUGCAAAUUAUGUCUCAAACUCUGCUCAGAUUUGCACCAAACACCAAAGUCUGCAAUCAUAAGCCAAAGAUUUUAAAUUAAACUCAAAUAUUUCUCAGCAAAUCCUUAAAAGA